GGAUUAGAUACCCUGGUAGUCCACGCCGUAAACGAUGGGUGCUAGGUGUGGGAGGUAUCGACCCCUUCCGUGCCGGAGCUAACGCACUAAGCACCCCGCCUGGGGAGUACGGCCGCAAGGCUGAAACUCAAAGGAAUUGACGGGGGCCCGCACAAGCGGUGGAGCAUGUGGUUUAAUUCGAAGCUACGCGAAGAACCUUACCUGGGCUUGACAUCACCGCGAACCUGGCCGAAAGGCUGGGGUGCCCCUUUGGGGAGCGCGGUGACAGGUGCUGCAUGGUUGUCGUCAGCUCGUGCCG
rnacentral:rRNA from 1 species